AUCAACUUUCGAUGGUAGGAUAGAGGCCUACCAUGGUGGUAACGGGUAACGGGGUGUUAGGGCACGACACCGGAGAGGGAGCCUGAGAAACGGCUACCACAUCCAAGGAUGGCAGCAGGCGCGCAAAUUACCCAAUCCCGACACGGGGAGGUAGUGACAAUAAAUAACAAUACGGGGUUCUUUCGGAUUUCGUAAUUGGAAUGAGUACAAUUUAAAUCUCUUAACGAGGAACAAUUGGAGGGCAAGUCUGGUGCCAGCAGCCGCGGUAAUUCCAGCUCCAAUAGCGUAUAUUAAAGUUGCUGCAGUUAAAAAGUUCGUAGUUGAAUUUCGGGACCAUCAUGUCGGUCGUGCCUCGGUACGUACUGGCAUUGUUGGUUUCUCCCUUCUGACGAACCAUGAUGUCAUUUAUUUGGUGUUGUGGGGAAUCAGGACUGUUACUUUGAAAAAAUUAGAGUGUUUAAAGCAGGCUCACGCUUGAAUACAUUAGCAUGGAAUAAUGAAAUAGGACGUUUGAUUCUAUUUUGUUGGUUUCUAGGAUCGACGUAAUGAUUAAUAGGGAUAGUUGGGGGCAUUAGUAUUCAAUUGUCAGAGGUGAAAUUCUUGGAUUUAUUGAAGACUAACUACUGCGAAAGCAUUUGCCAAGGAUGUUUUCAUUAAUCAAGAACGAAAGUUAGGGGAUCGAAGACGAUCAGAUACCGUCGUAGUCUUAACCAUAAACUAUGCCGACUAGGGAUCGCAUGAUGUUAAUUUUUAAUGACUCAUUCGGCGCCUUGCGGGAAACCAAAGUGUUUGGGUUC
rnacentral:rRNA from 1 species